GAUGAACGCUGGCGGCGUGCCUAAUACAUGCAAGUCGAGCGAACAGACGAGGAGCUUGCUCCUCUGACGUUAGCGGCGGACGGGUGAGUAACACGUGGAUAACCUACCUAUAAGACUGGGAUAACUUCGGGAAACCGGAGCUAAUACCGGAUAAUAUAUUGAACCGCAUGGUUCAAUAGUGAAAGACGGUUUUGCUGUCACUUAUAGAUGGAUCCGCGCCGCAUUAGCUAGUUGGUAAGGUAACGGCUUACCAAGGCAACGAUGCGUAGCCGACCUGAGAGGGGUAUCGGCCACGCUGGAACUGAGACACGGUCCGGACUCCUGCGAGGGGCAGCAGUAGGAAAUCUGCCGCAAGGGGCGAAAGCUGGACGAAGCGACGCCGCGUGAGUGAGGAAGGUCUUCGGAUCGAAAAACUCUGUUAUGAGGGAAAAACAAAUGUGUAGGUAACUAUGCAGGUCUAGGCGGUACCUAAUCAGAAAGCCGCGGCUAACUACG
rnacentral:rRNA from 1 species